rnacentral:rRNA from 1 species
GAUGAACGCUGGCGGCGUGCCUAAUACAUGCAAGUCGAACGCUGCAGAUCUAGCUUGCUAGAUCGAAGGAGUGGCGAACGGGGGAGCAACACAUAAGCAACCUACCCACGAAGACUGGGAUAAUCUCUGGAAACGGGGACUAAUACCGGAAAGGUAAUCCGAAUGCGUCUUCUGGUUAUUAAAGGUUACAAACACUGGUGGAUAGGAUUAUGCCGCAUUAGUUGGCUGGUGUGGUAACGGCCCACCAGGACGAGGACGCGUAGCCGGCCGGAGAGGGUGAGAGGCCACAUGGGGACUGGGACACGGCCCAGAGGCCUACGGGAGGGAGCAGUAGCGAACUGUCGGCAGUGGGGGCAACCCUGACCGAGCGACGCCGAGUGAGUGAAGGCGGCGUUCGGGUUGUAAAGCUCUGUUGUAAGGGAAGAACGGUAGAUAGAGAAUAUCUAAGUGACGGUACCUGGACAGAAAGCCACGGCUAACUACGUG